AGCAGGAAGAUGCAAACAAAUUUAAAAACAAAUACUAACCUCCAAGACAGAGAAUGAGCUAAUACGGAGAACCCGAUACAGCACCACAAGUGAAACACUUCAAUUUACACUCAACAAUCUUUCUGGAAUAUAUAUAAAGAACACUCACUACCUACAAAGUACAAAACAUCAAGCAAAGAGUUUCAUUUCAAAGCAAAGAUGGAGGGGUGUAGGGUUUCUUUAUAAGGAUGAAACAGAGUGUUGGAAAUGAGAGAGUGGGGUGCUGGAAAUGAGAGAGUGCAGGAGUGGAGUGCAGGAGUGGUGUAGGGGUGUAGAGUCAAGGGGUGCAGGGUCAAGGGUUGCAGAGGUCAGCAAAAUGCAUGCUUACUGAUUGGAACAAAAUGGAGGUGGAGUCAAUGAUGGCAUAGAAAUUCACACUAAUCAAAAUAUUUAAACUCUUAAACUAUUUAUUAAAUAGGGGUAUUUUUGGAAUUUGAAGGUGCAGGAUGAAAUCCUUGAAGGUGCAGAUGAAACACUCUAUGUAAAUUGUAGAAAAUAUAGGAGGUGAGAAGGAAAAACUAAGAAGGAACAAGAGAGAAAAUAUACUUAUAUAGGUGUGUAUGCAGACAAAACCGAAAAAAAUGGAUAAAGAGUAAAAUAUAAAAUAACACUUUAAAAAGACAAUUUUUUAUAUAACAGUGUAAAUAAUUUGUAUUAUUAAUAAAUAU
rnacentral:lncRNA from 1 species